rnacentral:lncRNA from 1 species
AACACAGUGUCUCUGCCAAACCCCUCAUGACAAGAUGAAAUCGCUGCCGCGAACACCUUAAUAUAUGUAGGUGACAUUUCCACGUGGAUGACAGCACAUAAUCAGCAAGACGGAGAUGCUCUUCAUCCGAGGUAAUGCCUGCCCAUUCUCAGAUGUGAGAAAGAAAUAGCACUCACUCUCCUCCAAAACACUGAUGACCUGAGCCAACUGUGCCACUUCUGUGGGGAGGUGGACAAUAAUGAGGAAGACACUAACUGGGUAAUUGCUUGUUCACUUCCAAAGGCGCAUUUUUCGGAGUACGAAUUUGUAU